rnacentral:rRNA from 1 species
GACGAACGCUGGCGGCGUGCUUAACACAUGCAAGUCGAACGGACCCUUUGGGGUUAGUGGCGAACGGGUGAGUAACACGUGGGUGAUCUGCCCUGCACUUUGGGAUAAGCCUGGGAAACUGGGUCUAAUACCGGAUAGGACUACGCACUGCAUGGUGUGUGGUGGAAAGCUUUUGCGGUGUGGGAUGGGCCCGCGGCCUAUCAGCUUGUUGGUGGGGUGAUGGCCUACCAAGGCGACGACGGGUAGCCGGCCUGAGAGGGUGACCGGCCACACUGGGACUGAGAUACGGCCCAGACUCCUACGGGAGGCAGCAGUGGGGAAUAUUGCACAAUGGGCGCAAGCCUGAUGCAGCGACGCCGCGUGAGGGAUGACGGCCUUCGGGUUGUAAACCUCUUUCGCCAGGGACGAAGCGCAAGUGACGGUACCUGGAGAAGAAGGACCGGCCAACUACGUGCCAGCAGCCGCGGUAAUACGUAGGGUCCGAGCGUUGUCCGGAAUUACUGGGCGUAAAGAGCUCGUAGGUGGUUUGUCGCGUUGUUCGUGAAAACUCACAGCUUAACUGUGGGCGUGCGGGCGAUACGGGCAGACUGGAGUACUGCAGGGGAGACUGGAAUUCCUGGUGUAGCGGUGGAAUGCGCAGAUAUCAGGAGGAACACCGGUGGCGAAGGCGGGUCUCUGGGCAGUAACUGACGCUGAGGAGCGAAAGCGUGGGGAGCGAACAGGAUUAGAUACCCUGGUAGUCCACGCCGUAAACGGUGGGUACUAGGUGUGGGUUUCCUUCCUUGGGAUCCGUGCCGUAGCUAACGCAUUAAGUACCCCGCCUGGGGAGUACGGCCGCAAGGCUAAAACUCAAAGGAAUUGACGGGGGCCCGCACAAGCGGCGGAGCAUGUGGAUUAAUUCGAUGCAACGCGAAGAACCUUACCUGGGUUUGACACGCACAGGACGCCGGCAGAGAUGUCGGUUCCCUUGUGGCCUGUGUGCGGGUGGUGCAUGGCUGUCGUCAGCUCGUGUCGUGAGAUGUCGGGUUAAGUCCCGCAACGAGCGCAACCCUUGUCUCAUGUUGCCAGCACGUUAUGGUGGGGACUCGUGAGAGACUGCCGGGGUCAACUCGGAGGAAGGUGGGGAUGACGUCAAGUCAUCAUGCCCCUUAUGUCCAGGGCUUCACACAUGCUACAAUGGCCGGUACAAAGGGCUGCGAUGCCGUGAGGUGGAGCGAAUCCUUUCAAAGCCGGUCUCAGUUCGGAUCGGGGUCUGCAACUCGACCCCGUGAAGUCGGAGUCGCUAGUAAUCGCAGAUCAGCAACGCUGCGGUGAAUACGUUCCCGGGCCU